GUCCACGCCGUAAACGAUGGGUGCUAGAUAUCGGGGCUUAAGCUUCGGUGUCGUAGCAAACGCGUUAAGCACCCCGCCUGGGGAGUACGGUCGCAAGAUUAAAACUCAAAGGAAUUGACGGGACCCGCACAAGCGGUGGAGCAUGUGGUUUAAUUCGAUGCUACGCGAAAACCUUACCACCUUUUGACAUCCCUCCUACCGGAGCUUGUAAUAGAGCUCCUUCAGUUCGGCUGGGGAGGAGACAGGUGUUGCAUGGCUGUCGU
rnacentral:rRNA from 1 species